ensembl:lncRNA
CUUUACAAAGCAAGAAGAUACCAGUAGCUUCCAGCUUUGUACUUUCCUUGCUAGAUGACAUAAAUUCACUACCCUAGUACCUUGUUUGUGAUCAUUUGCAAGCCAUAACGCAAAAAUAUUGUUGAUUUGAAAUCACUUCACUCCCCUGCCUCACGUCUCUCUUUGCUGGAACCUGGAACCGUGUGUGUGUGUGUGUGUGUGUGUGUGUGUGUGUGUGAAUGUCAUGGCUCUUAAAGAGACAGCGCACACUUUUAUAAAAGAAGAGAUUACUUCUUCUCCGCAAAUGUUCUCGAUCUGUACAAUUAAAAACAGCGGAAGGGAACGGGUUGUUUUGUCAUCUGUAGCCCCGUGAACUCAGCCAAAACAAGCUCAAUAACUCAACGCACGCACACACUCCUAUUGAAUAUGCAUUCACCUGUAUUGUGAAUAGGCCUAGGCUACAUCUUGAUUGACCCAGUUUAUCAAUAGAUAUUUACCAUUCAAAUAAAUUAUUAUCAUUAUGUAUUAUUAAAAAAUUUUUUUAAAAAAAGUCAAAUUGAUUGUAUAAUUGAUUCAUGGAUGCAUAUAUAAAGAAAACUAAAAUUACAAAUGUAAUGAUCUGUCUGGAUCAAGUGCCACUCUGUGACUUCUGCUUAUACGCCUUAUUUUUUCCCCCGUGGUAUCAUUUUGGUAUCGAGUAUCAUGAUGAUAUCGAGUAUCGUGAUACUAAACCUGGUAUCGAAGUCAAAGUUCUGGUAUCGUGACAACACCACACUGCGGUGUGAACGCAGGGCAGGUCUCACCCUACUGCGGAGGCUGGCUUUAACAUUCCAAUCCAUCUCUCCCUCCAUCUACAGUAUCCCUCCCGCUCUCCAUUAUCAAUUCAUCACAGGCAUCUGUCUGGUAAACACCACGUGACCUCACAGUCAGAUAAAGGACACAUACACACGGUUAACAUCCAUACACACGUUUGGGGGAAAAAAAACGUCACAUUCCCACACACAUUUGUUAGGCUAGAUGUCCCACUGAACAUUCUCCCACCUUUCCAUCAACAACAGGAGAACAGUGCGUGCG